UCAUUGCUCUUUAGGCUGGAUUUAAAGAUGUUAAAUCACUUUGAAACCACUUUCUUAUUAUGAUUCACAAAGCAAAUCAGUUCUGGAUGAGCUUUGUCUGGGAAAAUCAACCAUGGAGAUGUCAUCAGGGUUCUCUAAGCUUUGGAUUGGAGACUUUUUUUUUUUACCCCAGAAAGCCUGUGUUACAAAGAUGGGGUUUGAAAGAUGUAAGCGUUUACCAGGCAGGGAGGGUUUAAUGAUACCAUAGUAGGGACCAAAGAUAUCUCAAAGCUUCGAUUUUGACUGUUUUUCUUUUAAUCUGUCUCUUGUGAGUCUCCCGACUUUAACAAGUGCAAUAGUGAGACACCCUGACCCACAGUGCAUUGUUAGUUCAAGUUUGUUGCUCAAAAUCACAUCACAUAAUCACCGGGACGGAUGGUGUUUUCCACGGGACAGUGCGCCAAAGAGUCGGUAGGGAGGACUGACCGGGUCGCGGCAACUGUUCCACAUAUAAAUUCUGCGAUUUGUUCUUAUAUAAGUUGCCAAAGACACUACCUACUACCACAUUUCUGUUGUUUGUUCUUAACAUUGCUGUGUGGGUUGAAGUGUGGGACAUUUCUCUUUCUUUUUGAAAGCUUAGCGUUAUCCAGUGAAGCAUCUGUUUUGUUGUCAGAGUCUGAAUAUUGACUCACAAAGCAAACGGAGAGAAAUGUUGUGGAUCACAUAUUCAUUAAAAAAUUGAGCUGAAGUUACUUUCUCUUCUUUUAGGUAGACAGAUGCAUUUCUCAUUGAAUGUUUUAAUUGUUUGGCAUAAUUAUAUAUUACUCUCAUGUGGACCUACACCUAAGUAAAAAUAGGAUGUACACUAUGAUUUUGUUGACAAAGCAGAUGGGGAGAAAUGUUGUAGAUCAUAUUCUUGUUGUAAAAUUGAUUUGGAGUUACCUUAUCGUAGAAGUUAAAGGAAAUAGCUAUUUACAAGUUUUAGUGCUAUUUGUUGUUUUGUCUGGUGUUUCUUUUAUGUGUUGAAUCAGACUCGGUCUAAACAGCUACACAUGCCCCAUAUUUGGUAUCAAAUUAAAGAGGAUUUUUUUAAAUGAACACAACUUGUGAUUGUCAAUGUCUUUUAUGAAGAAGAUAGCGCUGUUUGUUUGGACUGAGUAGGUCUGAGGGUUCACAGUGAACUGCAGCAACAUUAUAGAAUUCGACUGGGGUCUAGAGGGUUAAAGGUAGAUUGAAAGACAGGUGGGAUGCAUUGUGUACUACUACUUACUUUAACUGUAUUCUAGAUAUUUACGUACUUUUUAAAACAUAUUAAUUCUUUUAAAUGUAUCCCCUUUGAUCGCUGACUUUUAGACCUUUGGAAAGAACUAGAACCUCACCAAAAGUGAAAUGAACGUCAUUCUACAAGUCAAGUGUGCACAGUUCUAUAAAGACUGUCCAAAUUCCAAAACUUUUAAGCUUCAGAAAGUUUGUUUUCCACACACUCUGUGCGGUGCUGUGGAUUCCACACGAGGCAAACACUCCUAAGGAAGCAAUGAGGAAAAGUGAAGCCUGCAGAGUUAACAUUUUGAGACUAGAAGAUCUUCCUGCAACACAGUCGCUGUGCUCAGCUGGAAACAGCUUCAGGUUGAACAGGUCCCACACUAUGAUGACGCUUUCCUCUUUUUCUCUGGCUCCCUCUCUGUGUCAGUUAUUCCUCUCUGGCUUAUGUCAGUGUAGGUUCUUCUUGCAAGACUUUAUGUCAAGCAGGUGUGUGGGCGGGGAGGUGGCAGUGUCGACAAAAACAAACAUGACAUCAGAGAGGACAGGAUGUGUUUUUCGCACCAGUGUAGUCACCUGCUGUGAACGCUACUACAGAGAGUAAAAGAAGCGAUGACUGGUGGACGGAGGAAGUGGCUCCUGCUGAAGAUCUGCGGGGAAACUGACUUGUGGACAUACAUGUGUGUCACUUCUGUACCUGUCCCUACUAUAUGUGUAAUAAAGCCAGACUAACGAGGCUGGGUUACCAACUGGGCAAACAACUAACCCAGCGCUCCAUGCUUACUGUGUGUCUACUGUAGCUUGUGCUGAUUUAAUUGACUAUUUGUUUUGGAAUAUACACCACCAAAGCACAACAUCAACUGACAUGAUAGUCUUGACAUGGGCUCUGCUUUAUUACCUAAUCUUGAAGAAGGUCCCUGUGUCCCUGUUGCCAGUUUAAGACACAUAUACACAGUGCACACAGAGUGACAUUAACAGUGGGUUGGGGGGCCCGGCAAUCCAAGUUUUUUUCAAAACUCUUUAAUAACCAGAUUUGAAAGAUCAUUGACAAAAUAUUUAGUUAUUUUUGUGAAAAAGGAAGGAUACAUACUGUAUAUCUCAUAUCUAUCUUUAGGUUUUUCUACUGUAUAAACCUGUGUGUGUGUGUGUGUGUGUG